rnacentral:rRNA from 1 species
GCGACGCCGCGUGAGGGAUGACGGCCUUCGGGUUGUAAACCUCUUUCGGCAGGGAAGAAGCGAGAGUGACGGUUCCUGCAUAAUAAGCGCCGGCUAACUACGUGCCAGCAGCCGCGGUAAUACGUAGGGCGCAAGCGUUGUCCGGAAUUAUUGGGCGUAAAGAGCUCGUACGCGGCUUGUUGCGUCGGUUGUGAAAGCCCGGGGCUUAACCCCGGGUCUGCAGUCUAUACGGGCAGGCGAGAGUGUGGUAGGGGAGAUCGGAAUUCCUGGUGUAGCGGUGAAAUGCGCAGAUUUCAGGAGGAACACCGGUGGCGAAGGCGGAUCUCUGGGCCAUUACUGACGCUGAGGAGCGAAAGCGUGGGGAGCGAACAGGAUUAGAUACCCUGGUAGUCCACGCCGUAAACGUUGGGAACUAGGUGUUGGCGACAUUCCACGUCGUCGGUGCCGCAUCUAACGCAUUAAGUUCCCCGCCUGGGGAGUACGGCCGCAAGGCUAAAACUCAAAGGAAUUGACGGGGGCCCGCACAAGCAGCGGAGCAUGUGGCUUAAUUCAACACAACGCGAAGAACCUUACCAAGGCUUGAC